UGUUAAAAAUUUCAUCCAUUUGUACUGUUAAAAAAUAGUGUGGCUGACGGAAUAACCAUAUAUUGACACGUUGCUGACGUACAAAGACCAAUUUUUAACAAUAGAAAUGGAUGGAAUUACUAUCA
rfam:Gossypium raimondii Chr05_contig_1298, whole genome shotgun sequence.